rnacentral:rRNA from 1 species
CGAACGCUGGCGGCAGGCCUAACACAUGCAAGUCGAACGGCAGCACAGAAGAGCUUGCUCUUUGGGUGGCGAGUGGCGGACGGGUGAGUAAUGUCUGGGAAACUGCCCGAUGGAGGGGGAUAACUACUGGAAACGGUAGCUAAUACCGCAUAACGUCGCAAGACCAAAGUGGGGGACCUUCGGGCCUCACACCAUCGGAUGUGCCCAGAUGGGAUUAGCUAGUAGGUGGGGUAAUGGCUCACCUAGGCGACGAUCCCUAGCUGGUCUGAGAGGAUGACCAGCCACACUGGAACUGAGACACGUGCC